rnacentral:lncRNA from 1 species
CGCUGCGCUGGGAGUGAGAGGGGGUCAGGAUUUCCCCGCUGCCGUUUGUGACCCCGGGGGAUUUCUCAGGGUUCCGAAAACAACACAGCCCUGGCCGGGAGGGAUACGGGCCGGAGGAUGCCAGAUGUUUUGAAUUCUUUGAAAUCUCUAAGCAUCUAGAAAAAAUAAUCAUGGUGGUGUGCCUGUGGAAAAUGCUCGAGGGACAGCAAAUGAACGAAGCAUUCGAAGAUGUGUUGAACCACGUUUGAAC